ACGUACUGUAAAUCGAUGUACCUUUUCAUUUGCAUACAUGCAACAAUCGGCGUAAUCAUUACUAUUAUAAACAGUUUAAAGGAUCACUUGUUGCAGUUUUGAUACAAUUUGCAAACGGUUUGCGGUGAUUACUAUGGGAUGCGGUACGUCUGACAUGGACCACAACGUCAACAGUACCCGCGUGAGAAUCAACGUGAUCGAAGCAACAAGCAUAAAUCUAGAGUGUAGCUUUUCCAGAAGCCCCAGCAGCUCCCGGAGGAAUUCCGGAUUAAGCCUAUUAGCCCCCUCUCACAGCCAUGCUGCGAAGCACAAAAAAGCUCCAAAAAAAGCUGAACGAGCAGGAUCACCUGUCUUAUGACGUCAUAUCUCGUGUAAUGGCGCAGCAUUUGCGCGUUGAUCAAAAAUGACGAACUCAUAAAUAGACGCGCCAAGUCACAUAACUAGUUCGAUUAUACUACUGCUCACGUGAGAUCUUGAUGACUUGGUUAGUUAAGCAAUUUUGCAAAAUUGAUCAUUGACAUCACGCUAUCUAUUUCAAGAUGGAACGUUCGAGAGUUUAGCUACAUUACCCAACAAAAAAAGAUCAAGCUAAACCGUGUGACCAGUGCCGCAAUGUAUGGUUUUAACUAUUAAGUCGCAUCAAUUGUGAAUUGUGUCAAGCAAGUGCCUGUACAUGUGUUGGCAAUGUAUUUAUGCCAUAAAUUAUGGUGGUGCAUGUAUGAUAUGUGACGUCGACAUUUAUCCCAUUUUCACCGCGACAUUGACGGUAUAACACGUUGUGGAAUAUACUUGCUUGUAUUCAACACUGUGGAAUAUACCUGUCGCGUGCACGGACUACUUUUUAAAUGACGUCAUGCGAUAUGCGCGUAAAUUAGGUCGAUAUUGUUUGGUUCAUUGAUCGAAUUUUAAGGUCACCCAUUAGAAGAAAAUGUGCAUAUUUUGCAGAAAAAUAUAUAUAUUACAUAUUCGCCAAAAGAAAUGUUGAAAUAAAAUAUAAAAUUACA